GACGAACGCUGGCGGCGUGCUUAACACAUGCAAGUCGAACGGAGUUAAGGAGCUUGCUUCUUAACUCAGUGGCGAACGGGUGAGUAACGCGUGAGGAACCUGCCUUUCAGUGGGGGACAACAGUUGGAAACGACUGCUAAUACCGCAUGAUACUAUCGGCCGCAUGGUCUGAUAGUCAAAGAUUUAUUGCUGAAAGAUGGCCUCGCGUCUGAUUAGCUAGUUGGUGGGGUAACGGCCCACCAAGGCGACGAUCAGUAGCCGGACUGAGAGGUUGACCGGCCACAUUGGGACUGAGAUACGGCCCAGACUCCUACGGGAGGCAGCAGUGGGGAAUAUUGGGCAAUGGGCGAAAGCCUGACCCAGCAACUCCGCGUGAAGGAAGAAGGCCUUCGGGUUGUAAACUUCUUUUACCAGGGACGAACACAAUGACGGUACCUGGAGAAAAAGCAACGGCUAACUACGUGCCAGCCGCCGCCGUAACAC
rnacentral:rRNA from 1 species